rnacentral:rRNA from 1 species
AUUGAACGCUAGCGGGAUGCCUUACACAUGCAAGUCGAACGGAGUGGCGAACGGGUGAGUAAUGUAUCGGAACGUGCCCAGUAGCGGGGGAUAACUACGCGAAAGCGUAGCUAAUACCGCAUACUAUUGGAGCGGCCGAUACCGGAUUGGCUAGUUGGUGGGGUAACGGCUCACCAAGGCGACGAACCGUAGCUGGUUUGAGAGGAAGACCAGCCACCCUGAGACUACAACACGGCCCAGACUCCUACAUGAGGCAGCAGUGGAGAAUUUUGGACAAUAGAGGAAACCCUGAUCCAUCCAGCCCGCAUGGGCGAUGAGGGCCUUCAGGUUGUAAAGCACUUUUGGCAGGGAAGCGGUACCUGCAGAAUAAGCACCGGCUAACUACGUGCCAGCCGCCGCGGUAAUUC